GACGAACGCUGGCGGCGUGCUUAACACAUGCAAGUCGAACGGAAAGGCCUGCUUUCCCUUGUGGAUUGCGGGUACUCGAGUGGCGAACGGGUGAGUAACACGUGAGUGAUCUGCCCCCAACUUGGGUAUAAGCCUGGGAAACUGGGUCUAAUUCCCGAUAGGACUGCAGGGUGGUGCCUGUGGUGGAAAACGAUUUUCUAGUGGUUGGGGAUGAGCUCGCGGCCUAUCAGCUUGUUGGUGGGGUAUGGCCUACCAAGGCGGCGACGGGUAGCCGGCCUGAGAGGGUGGACGGCCACAUUGGGACUGAGAUACGGCCCAGACUCCUACGGGAGGCAGCAGUGGGGAAUAUUGCACAAUGGGCGGAAGCCUGAUGCAGCGACGCCGCGUGGGGGAUGACGGCCUUCGGGUUGUAAACUCCUUUCGACCGCGAGGAAGCCACCUGGUUGGAAGGGUGGUGACGGUAGUGGUAGAAGAAGCACCGGCUAACUACGUG
rnacentral:rRNA from 1 species